rnacentral:tRNA from 1 species
AGGCUUUAGUAUAUGUAUGUAGUAUAAUUUAUUUUCAAUAAAUAGGAAAUAAGUCUUA